AGCGAACGCUGGCGGCAGGCCUAAUACAUGCAAGUCGAGCGGCCCUUCGGGGCAGCGGCGGACGGGUGAGUAACGCGUGGGAACGUGCCCUUUGGUUCGGAACAACACAGGGAAACUUGUGCUAAUACCGAAUGUGCCCUUCGGGGGGAAAGAUUUAUCGCCAUUGGAGCGGCCCGCGUUGGAUUAGGUAGUUGGUGGGG
rnacentral:rRNA from 1 species